rnacentral:rRNA from 1 species
GCUGAGGCGUGAUGACGAGGCACUACGGUGCUGAAGCAACAAAUGCCCUGCUUCCAGGAAAAGCCUCUAAGCAUCAGGUAACAUCAAAUCGUACCCCAAACCGACACAGGUGGUCAGGUAGAGAAUACCAAGGCGCUUGAGAGAACUCGGGUGAAGGAACUAGGCAAAAUGGUGCCGUAACUUCGGGAGAAGGCACGCUGAUAUGUAGGUGAAGUCCCUCGCGGAUGGAGCUGAAAUCAGUCGAAGAUACCAGCUGGCUGCAACUGUUUAUUAAAAACACAGCACUGUGCAAACACGAAAGUGGACGUAUACGGUGUGACGCCUGCCCGGUGCCGGAAGGUUAAUUGAUGGGGU